CCACAUAAUUCUUUAAAAACAAAAAAGAAUAAGAAAAUAAUGUGUUUUCUUUCGGAAAAAAAAUUUAAAUACUAUCUGUCUGGUUUCGCACUUUUUUACUUGAGUACCUUGUGAUUUAAAGUGUAUUAUUUUUGUAUUCUGUUGUUUUGUUUUUUUUCUUUUUGUUAUCUCUUACAAUAAUUUUUUUUGUUAAAUCAGUGACAAAAUUAAAACUAAAAGAUAGUAAAGUAAAUAUUCGAUGAACUAUAGGUUGGAUAUCCGAAGGUUUUUGUAUAUGAUUUAAUGAAAAGUUAACAAAGGGUUAACGAAAAGAGAAAAAUAAAAUCACAAGAUAUUAAAUUGAUACACUUUAAACCAUAGGAUACUAAAGUGAAAAAGUGCGAAACUACAGAAAUUGUAUUUGAAGUUUACCUUUUUUUUAAUAAUAUUUAAUAAUUUUUUUACAACUUUAAAAAUAUUUUAUUUAUUUCUA
rnacentral:lncRNA from 1 species